ensembl:rRNA 5S_rRNA 5S ribosomal RNA
GCCUACGGCCACACCACCCUGAAAACACCCGAUCUCGUCUGAUCUCGGAAGCUAAGCAGGGUCGGGCUCGGUUAGUACUUGUAUAGGAGACCUCCUGGGAAUCCCGGGUGCUGUAGGCU